rnacentral:rRNA from 1 species
UAGGGAAUCUUCGGCAAUGGGGGGAACCCUGACCGAGCAACGCCGCGUGAGUGAAGAAGGUUUUCGGAUCGUAAAGCUCUGUUGUUAAGGAAGAACGAGUGUGAGAAUGGAAAGUUCAUACUGUGACGGUACUUAACCAGAAAGGGACGGCUAACUACGUGCCAGCAGCCGCGGUAAUACGUAGGUCCCGAGCGUUGUCCGGAUUUAUUGGGCGUAAAGCGAGCGCAGGCGGUUAGAUAAGUCUGAAGUUAAAGGCAGUGGCUCAACCAUUGUAGGCUUUGGAAACUGCUUAACUUGAGUGCAGAAGGGGAGAGUGGAAUUCCAUGUGUAGCGGUGAAAUGCGUAGAUAUAUGGAGGAACACCGGUGGCGAAAGCGGCUCUCUGGUCUGUAACUGACGCUGAGGCUCGAAAGCGUGGGGAGCGAACAGG